rnacentral:misc_RNA from 1 species
GACUUUUCAUGCCAUUUGCAGGCGGAUAUCCAAGAACCGUGUGAUGAGAACUGAUAGACAGGUGCCGAAGAACCUGGUUUUCGGGGAUCCCAUAUCCUAAGAACGGGGUCAGAACCACCAGCAGCAAUGAGGGAAGAACCUUCACCUCCAACAUCAAGGCAAUUAACAACUUUGUCGCAAUACAGGUUCAAUGAAUCCUUGCCCAUCUCAACAUCCCAUCUUCUUAUAGAGUGAUCCCAUGAUUCUGAAUAAAUUGUUUCAUCUUGUGACCACACCACAGAUGACACACACUGUGUAUGUCCUACAAGUGUAGAUUUAGCCUCCUCUUCUACUUGAGGAUCCUCCUCAUCGGCAUUCUUCUUCCUUUUCUUGACUGAAAUGACGUCACCUGUAUCUGAGCAGCCACUUGCUUGCCACAAAGCUAUUUGGGAAUCCCAGGACCCUGAACACACCAUUUCUCCAGCAGGAUUUGCUGCAACACUUUGGACGGAAGCAUUAUGUCCAUGUAAAAUCUUAAAGGCUCU